AUCAUUUUUCUGCAUUUUGACUAGGAUCAAGUGUAGUAUCUAUUCUAAUCAAUUUAAUAUCUGAUUUGUUCUCUAAACGAGAGUGUUAUAUCCAGCAGGGUUUUUUUUUUUUUAGAACAAGUAACUGGGAUAGGAGUUUACUCUUUCAGCUCCAUAUGCCAACCUGAUGUUGCAGUACCUCUAUCUUUGUUCUAGGAAAA